CCAGUAACUUGGAGGCAUGCCUGUCUGAGCGUCAUUUAAAACCAUAGACCCUUCUGGGUUUGUAUUGGGCCUCGCCUCCGGGCGUAGCCUCAAAGUCAUCGGUCUUAUACGCGGACGAGCUCCAUUCGGACGGAACGUGUGCACGUACAUUAAUCAUCUGACUUGACCUCAGAUCAGGUAGGACUACCGCCUGAACUUAA
rnacentral:misc_RNA from 1 species